GUGCACCUCCAUGGGAUCCCCACGACACACGGCUCUGCCAUGAGGUUGUGGUAGAGUUGGUCUUCUUCCCCGCUGGCCAGAAGAUGCAAGUGUCUACCCACUUCUUUUCCUUUCUCUCUAUAGAUAGAAAUUGUGCUCUCUCUAAGAAUUAUUUUUACUUUUUAAUGUGUUAUUACUUUUGUUCUUGCUGAUGCCUUAGGCCGAUGUGCUGCUUUGAUUCAGUUUUCUCUUCUUUGAGGCAUGGUAGUAUAAAAAGUUGAACUUAACUGUUGCAGGUCACCACCUGUGGCAAAGAUUAGCAGGGAGUGCAAGGUUGUUGUCGGAUGCUCAGGAAUGCAGCGGGAGUUCGCCUGUUCUCGGCUUCCUGUUCGGAGUUGUAUAGUGCCACCCCUGUAGACUCCACUGGCAGCGGGAUCCAGGUCCCCCCUGACCUCUUCCUUUGUCCUUGGUUGACAAAAACACUAAGCAAUCCUCACAUUUCAAAAGUGCUUCAGGUCCAACUCCAGGAUAUUUGAUUCAGUAAUCAGCUUCAGUUCCAAGUUUCAGUGCUUCAGAAAUAUUGGUUUUGGUAAUGAGCUUGCCGAGAUGGUACCUGGACAUAAUUUACUUGCGUGCUAUAGCAUGUAGAAAAUUGUCUAGUUAAAUUGAUCAAUGUACAAUCUCUCGCUAAUAGCAUAUUUUUAGAGGCCACGCUAUUUUGUAUAGCACGCUAUUCAUUAGAUCUGCCUACUCCUGUAUUUUCAGUUACCUGUGUGACUGAAAAAAUACACUAUAUGUUACUAUGCUAUAUUUCCUAAGUUAUGUAUAGAACCUCUGCCUAUAUACUUGGAUCACCGGAUUGUUCAAUUCUUUUUAUGCAUCAAAACUACAGAAUUACUACUUAUCAUUGCAGUGUCGUGUUCUGUGUAUACCAAUCUACCACUAUAAUACACCAUUCUUGAAUUUGGAUUCACCACCUACUUGCUUUUUAGUCUGCUCGAGGUCGGCCAUGGAGGUUUGGCCCGACCAAUGGAUGGAUGGGGAUGAAACCCUAGGCCAACACCCACCCAUGGAUGGAUGGGAUGGGGCGACGACGACGGCAACAACGGCCUUCUCUCGGUGCUUGCUGAUGUGGUUGCCAUCGACGCCGGCGACGAGUUGCAGCACGUAGACAUCAAAGGCUGCGGGUGUGACGGAGGAGCACCAUGGCGGGCGUGCAGGCCAUGUCUCUCUAUGUUAAGGGAGCAUUCCUCAAUUUUUUUGGGGUCCAAUGGAACAGCAGGAGUGUGGAGAAUUAACGCACUCGAGGACUCUGGAAUAUGGAUGGAGAGAACGACAGUUGAAGACAUGGAUAUUGUUGUCCGAGCACAUAUAAAGGGAUGGAAGUUUCUGUUAUGGUUUAUGACUUUUUUGUAUGGCAUUCAUAUCUUUACUGAUCAUUCAAGCAGUGCUACACGCAUUUCCAUUCAGUGUUAGUGUGAAUUGCUGGAGCACAAUAUGACUCAUGCUCAUCUCCAUGUCAAUGCUAGGAGGAGAAAAACUACAUUCAGAGGUUACGGAAUGGCAAUGGGUGGGUUACCUCCCAGGAGCAGAUGACUGGCAUGGUUAGUGAUCACUAGGCCAUGAAUCUCAUGGAUCCCAUGAUACAGGUAUCUGGUCCAGAUCCGACGGAGACAAGCAAAAUCGUGCUGUUGCUUCUUCUUUUGAUUGAAAAUCCAGGUGAAACCUUUCAGGAACUCAGGACGACACGCAUUGAUUAUAUUUCAUUGUGAUGGCUGCUGCCGACACAGCUACUAUGGGUACACGCAACUUCUAUUUCGCUCGUCACCGGAAACCACCGCCCAGAUCCAUCUCUUCUCAACCAUGCCGACGUGGUGGUUAGGGGUGCUUACAACUUGUGAGGACCUGCGUUCUCGCUGUUGAUCCGUGAUGGCAUGGCCUCCCCGUGCCCUAGUCGCGUUCUAGCUGAUGGUUUGGGUCCACCAGCGGAGGGAGAGGGGGACGACCUCUGUCGCUCCUUCUCUCUAGCCUCUUCAUCUUGAUGAAGCCGUAGGAGUAGAGGGGCACACGCGUAAUGGAUCUGCUCCAAGCACCUCAAGCCACACAUCUUCAAGGUGAUCACUUCAUCCACAUCCAAUGUCAGUUUCCGCGUUUACUCCUUUUUUGGGGUGGAUGGAUGCAUGAUACUCUGAUAGUAGCAGGCAGUUGUAGUACAUACUACAAAUUGGCACGCUGAAACUAGCCUGCAAUUUUCUCGGAAAUUUUUAUGUCACAUGCUAGUGGAGUGGAUUAUAACAUUUCAGUGGAACAAAUUGUAGGUAUUUCUUGUUUGCUUCUCAAAGAAAAGGAUGUUAUAUUAACUUGGUGUUGCUGUUCUUGGUAGGAUGAACAAAUAGCACCUUGCAG
rnacentral:rRNA from 1 species